rnacentral:misc_RNA from 1 species
AAGUCGUAACAAGGUUUCCGUAGGUGAACCUGCGGAAGGAUCAUUAAUACGCUUUUGUUUGUAACAAAACAAAACGUUGCAAACUCCAAAAUUGAAUAGUGGAAACAUAACUUCCGGAUGCGAAUGUUGGGGAACUGAGUAAAAUUGGUUCUUUGAAAAAGGGACUUCAAGCAAUUGACACUUCAGAGUAGAGCAGUGAGGUGAAACUUUCGUUUAGAGCGAGAGUUUGGUUCUGAAAAACAUUUGUAUCCGGUUAUCUUAAUCUGUUCUACAAACUCCAAAAUAUUAAACAAUAAACCCCAUGUACAACAACUUGAACUAAACAUUUUUUUGUUAUCUGCUUGCACACUUGUUGUGUGAGAAGAUACUACAAAGAAAAAACCUGAACUUAAGAACAACUCUUAACAACGGAUAUCUUGGUUCUC